rnacentral:rRNA from 1 species
UACGAAGGGGGCGAGCGUUGUUCGGAAUUACUGGGCGUAAAGGGCGCGCAGGCGGCCUUAGAAGUCAGAUGUGAAAGCCCCGGGCUCAACCUGGGAAUGGCAUUUGAUACUCUGAGGCUGGAGUACGGGAGAGGAGAGUGGAAUUCCCAGUGUAGAGGUGAAAUACGUAGAGAUUGGGAAGAACACCAGUGGCGAAGGCGGCUAUCUGGACGGUUUCUGACACUAAGACUCGAAAGCGUGGGGAGCAAACAGG